rnacentral:lncRNA from 1 species
GGGGCCAGGGGGUCUGGUUUUAUAGUCCCCUCAAGUGAACCUGGGCCGUCGGAUCAAUCCGACAUAGAUUGAACGGUUAUUCUUGAUCCUUUAGGUCGGUGGAGCAUAAUCCGCGAGGUUGAACGUGAUUGGCCACUGUAGCAGGGCGGGCGCCCAGUAGGACAGGGCGGGCGCCCUGUCUCUGGCCCCGAUUCGCCUCCGCUUCGGUCUCGUGGCUUCUGGAGUCUUCUAGAUGUAAGAUAAUUGCGCGGCACGUUAAUAUCUUUACGUAAUCCCGACGUGUGGGCCUUUCUUCCUUAUUUCCUGAUAACCCCCUACAGAAAUAGACAAACACCAAAACUCAUGGAAUUCUGUCAGAUAAAACCCUAAGUCUAGAUGUUGAUUUCAUUUGGAUCCUUUUCUUUGUUUAUUUGAUAAUUAAAUUUGAUACUUAAGGACCGUCAACAAACUCCCCCAGCUUACCUCUUGCUCGUCCCUGAGCAAGGAUAGACUCAGCAAUGGAUCAGAAGUUGUUGCAAUAUCUUAAAAAUUUGACGGUACACAUGCUUUUUUAAAUGAGGUCUUAUCUCUGAGUUAGAGUAAACUGUCAAGAUUUUAAAACUUACUUACUUUACCUUUCACCAUGGGACUUGUAACCGUCACUUCUGUCUUGAGUGGUUAAAAGAUAGAACAGUCUAGUCAAGUGCCAUGUCUCUUAUUCUUGAUCAGCUAUAGCUCUGGGGUUUUUUUUUUACAGAUUUUCAAAUAAAACUCAGAGAUUCCUUGUAUGAUUCUCUCAGAUCUCUCUUUUGUGGUAUUUCUGGAUCCUUACCAAGGCAGUGAUGGUAUAUGCCUUCUCUCAAGAUAUGUAGUAUUUGUGGUAUAAGGCAUAGUGACAUUGCCUUCUCUCUCACCCUACUCUAAUAAGGCUUUAAUAUCUGGAGCUCAUAGGUGGGAGAUAAAGUAUACAUACUUACAAGACAUGUAUUGUAUAGUCAAACCAUGGAUCCAAAGUAACAAGUCAAUAAGUUUAAUCAAGAUGUGCAUGUGUGGCGAAUGAAUGAUGUAUGGUGAUGAUGGUGAUAACAAUGGUGAAAACAAUGGUGGUGGAAGUCUAAUUCUACUUUUGCUCUUAUGAGGGGAUACAUACCUUCCUUGCUUUUUGAAACUUUAUGAGGAGAAUGAGAUGCUCUUCUUUUUCUUUCCACUCAGGUGGGUAUCUUGUACCCCUAAUUCUACUGUCGGACACUUGUCCAUUUUUACCUCUCGUCUCACUCUUUUUCUUUUCUUUCGAGGUUCCGGGCACUUGCCCCUUUUUAUUUCCUCGUUUAUUAUUUUUUUUCUUUUCUCUUUUUUUUCUUCUUUUUUUUCAGAGCACUCAUCUCUUAAGAUAAUAUAGCAAGUGGUAGUAGCAAGAUAACUUGAGCAUUUAUUUCACAAGGGAAAAACAUAGAUGUUUUUGGCUAUUCUCUCCCGAAUUAGGAAUAGAAUAUUUUUAGGUGAUUAUGGAGAUGGAAAUGGAUGGAUAUAUGUGGAUGGUACUUCCGGAGUAGAAGUAGCAUAUAUAUGAGUGAACGUGCAAGUGAAAUCUUGAUUUAACCACAUGACAAGCUCCUAAGGGUCUACACAGCUUGACCACACUCAAUGCUCAUAAGCAGUAAAUAAUAAAUGUGUGGCUCAAAAUCUAGCAAGCAUGUAUAUAUGGCUGUGGUAGGAAUUUAAACUCUCAUCAUACAGGAACUCAUCAUGCAAUAUUUUUAAAGAUUUUUUAAAGAUAAAAUUCUCCAGAAUUCUAGCAUCUCUAGGAACAGAUAAAUAGCAGCUCAACCUUCCCAUAUCAUAUCCGUUAACAACUUAGAUUUCAGAUCAAGUUUUCAUCCCACAAGUUUAGAUCUAGAGCAAGCUUUAAAUUAUAACAGUUAUGUAUAAACUUGAGAGAGAACUUCAAAUUUGCAAAUUAGGCAGAGCAACUAUUCAUCAUAUCCAUGCUAGAGUUUUAUUAUUAAGAUUCAUAGCAAACUUUAUUUAUUUAUUUAUUUAUUUAGCAAACUAAGAAAAGAUAUAUAUAUAUAUAAGCAUAAAAUCUUUAUUUGGUUUUUCAUAGUUUAUGUAUUUUAAUAUUCUAAUAUAAUAUAAGUAUAAAGAUAGGUAGAAAUACUUAGCGAGAUAAAUAGGGGUGCUCUCCCCCAAGCUGAAUUUUGACGUAAUUUCUCUUGAUGUAGCUAGCAGGUGGCAGAGGUGUAUUUGAAAGUCAGCAGCAUUUUGACAGCGAUUAGAAUGUCCUCCAUCUGCUAGUCUUCUUGAUUCUUAAAUUCUGUGGAGCUCAAAUAGACAACAAAGCUUGUGGAACUAAUUAAGUGUUAGCAUAAAUAUCUAGCCUUCAUCACGUUGAGCUUCCUCAAUAAAUAUUACUCCCUGUUUUUAUAUUUUUAUUUUAUAAAGUAGAAAAGAAAUAUUUAUUUUUUUUUAUGCCACCACGGUGAAGGUACUUAUGGGUUUUAUGCCACUCGUAUACUCACAUGGGGCUUAGUAUUUUUUAACAUUUUUAUUUUCUUUUCAAGAUAGCAUGAUUAACUAAUAAUCUAUUUAAGGAAAGUAAAUAAUUAAAGGGAAAAGGGAAUGCAGAAAAGAUAAAUAUGGAUAACUACCAAUCUUACCUUUCGGCGAGGGUUCAAUGUUUUAAGUCUUCUUGUCAAGACUUCUCAUCGUGUUCAUUCUUCGGGUGCGUCAUUUGAUUCAGGUGCGGACCUUGACGUCUGCACCUUUUAAUACGGUGUCACCCAUGUUCUUCGUUUGCCCAGCAGUUCGAAGUGCGGUGUUAGCAGUAUCUUGCUCAGUGUGUUUGUGCUCGUAGUGUACCUGCUCAUAGAGACAAAGCAGAGAUCAAGUGCAUGGGCCCUGUUGGUGGAAAACACCAACAGAACCAAAAGUGUAUUUGUUCUUCUCUAACCUUAAGCAUAGUGAGCAAGACAAGUUGAUGGAUGAUAAGUUCAUGAGUAUAGCACUUAUAACAUUUGUCAGAUCAGAUCGCUCAACCUUAUGGAAAGAUAAUCUAUCUAUGUAUAUGUCUUUUUCUUUAUAUCUCUCAAUGAUUGAAUGUGUAACAUUUUAGCUCAUAUGAUUAGGAGUGUGGGAUCAUGGAGGUAGUACUAAGAACAAGGAUUAAAGGACUAAACAUGUUGAAUCAGUUGGGUUGGUUAAUCUAGAGUUGUAAAUCAUACACGUUUGUCUCUUUUAUUUAUAUGAACGCCAGAACCAAAGAGAAGCUUAUAAAAGAGAUAGUCAAGUACCUUAAGAUGUUACCUUGCUCGAAGAGUGAUGGUACAGUAUCAUCUUGUGGAAGCUUUCCUUUCUUAGCGGUUGUGCGUCGUGUUUGUGGCACCCUCCAUGGAUCAUCUCUCUAUGAUGAAUGAGCUAUGUCCUUCUUGUGCAAAUUGUUAAACUUCAUGUGUCACUCUCUUCGUCUCUGAUGUGAAUUUAUCUCAGGACUUCCCAAAUCGAUAUUGAAAGUUUUUCUGCAGGGGUUAGUCCGACAAAAUAUACCAAUAUCUACUCAAGCAGUUUUUUUAGUUCAAUAACCAAACUAGACUCCAUGUCUAAUCAGAUUAAGGAAGGCUAUUUAACCUAAGCACCAUGCUUAAUUUAAAUGCCAAUGGAAGUAUGGCGAGUACUUCCAAACCAACACUUGCUAGUAAAUAGACAAAGGUAGCAUGACAGCGUUUAUAG